GGUAGCAAGGCCCAGAAAACUUGAUGCCCUGUUGUUAUUCCUAUCCUUAUACCAAGUUGUCCGUCUUGGGCUCGCGACAGCCACCUACGUCACCAGGACAGCUGCCACCCUUAAGGCUCCGUGUGAGGUUUCCCUCUCGGUGGUCUAACGGGAUCUCUCCACGUCCCUGGUCUGGCCGCUUCCGGCCCGGAGGACCCGCCCAGAGCCGCCGGAAGCACGCCCUGGGUGCGCGAGCGCCCAGCUAGGGAAGCGGGCCGAAGGGCUGCAUGUGUGGCAAUGUCUCUCGGAGCGCGCUGCAUUUCUAGCUUUACUAGUUUUCAUCAGGGCUCCCUACUCACUGCUGAAAUGACCAUUCCUGCAGGAAAGCAAGCAAUAGACCGAGGUACCCUAUGUCCAACUGCCUCCUCUGUAAGGAGCCCCUCCCGGGUAGCCGGAAGCUUGUUUCAUCCUCGCCCUGACAAAGCUGGUGCCUGUGCUGCUCUUCACCUUGUUCGUUGGUUCCGUCCUAAGGCCUCCAUCAGAACGCGGUCCCCGAUUGUUAAAACAGCAGUUACAUCCCCCUGGAAUUUAGUUUCCUUUCAUUACUACCUUUCUUCGCUGGGAAUUACAACUGUUUAGCGUGUA